GGGGGCAUACUGGCUUCGAGUGGAGCUGAUUCUUCUGUGGAGCAUGUCGAGGGGCGGUUUGCCUCGUUAAAAGCCGCAAAAUAAUAGUCGCAGCAAACGACGAACACUUCGAACUAGCAGCUUAGUAGGCUGUGUAGUUCCCACCCUCUCUAGGUUUAGUCUGUAACUAGGAGACUCAGGGUGGUCAAAACCCUACAGAAUCGCGUGGAAGCUUAUACCUGAUAGCUGAAGCGUUAAAGCCAAGUCAGGUAUGAUAUACAGUGGCGUGUCACUUCGCAGGUGUAUAUCGAGAUUAAUAAGUGAAUAAACAUGUAGUGCCACUUUGGUGUCUGUUUCGCGACUGGGGUUCGAUUCCCCAUGCCUCCACCA
rnacentral:tmRNA from 1 species